AGAGUGAUAUUACGCAGUAUCUAACCUGCUCGGCGGGAUACGAAAGGGAGAAACAAAGAAAUGUGGACUGGUGGACACAGGCAUAGUUACACUGAUUGACUAAUAUGUUGAAAACCCCACCUCCUAUAAAAUACUUGUUUUGUAUUGUCAGAUAACCAAUUGUGACAUGAAAAAAAAUCACUCUUGACAUUGUCAAUUCGUAUGGGAUAGUGAUGGAAACAUAAAACAUUAGUUGAUAUAUUACGUCGAAAGUGUUUCCUUUUUUUCAAUAAUACUAGUAUGUAACAAUGCUUUAAUUACAUAUUUGAAAUACGUACCUGUAAAUAUUGUAUAUAUUAGUCCUAACGAUGUUACUAAAUUAUUUAGAUACUGUAUAUACGGUUUUGAAUUCGCGUUGUUAUGUUUGCUAAUUGAAUAUUUAUUUUGAAUAACUCAAGUCGUAAUCCCAAAUUGUAGAGUACUUCAAAAAGUUGUAUAAGUCAAAGCAAUAACAUUUAUUACAUUGCACAAUGUAGCUGAUGCCAUAUAUUUUUUUAAGAUCAUGGUUAAUUUUAUCUUCUCACUGUUGCAGAUCUAUCUAAUGUAUAUAAACUAGAUAUCAAUAUAUGGCUUGAUGUGUAUUUAAUUAACUUAAACAUUGAUUUUUUUUCUUUUGCUGAAAUUGAUAAAGUUUUUGAACUGG
rnacentral:misc_RNA from 1 species